rnacentral:sRNA from 1 species
AAUGAUCCUUUAUUAGGAGCCAACUACCAAAUGUCAAAGAAAAUCACAUUAUGCAAUAACUGAUAAUCUAUCCUCCCAUACGAUUUCACCUAAAGACCCACACACAAACUCUAGUUUGUAAGACAGGCCUAUAUAUAUAUGGUCAGUUCAGUCAGCUAUUACAAAGCGGGUUGUUUGUGAAGGAGCAUCUGGGGUUGAAUAUAGAUCUACGUCAAGAUUUCUUCAAACAUUGCAAGCUUUUAAGUGAAGAAUCAUUGAGUGAUUUCACUUUAAUAAAAUGCUGUUUUUCUGGCCAUUUCCUUAUUGUUAAAUCAGGUGACAGUCGCCGCAGACUAUCAUCAUGAAAGCGAUUUGCUUUCCAAGAGAGAUAACUUGCCUAAAAGCCCUGACGAUACAAUAGUGUGCAGACAAGAACCUCUUGAGCUCAGCAUUGUCCUAGACUCUUCUAGGUCCAUCAGGAAAACUGACUUUAAUAUAUGCAUCGACUUUCUGAAAGACUACCUGGAGGAAUUCGACAUCAGCAAAGACAACGUGAGAGUCGCCAUCAUUCUUUACGGGGACGGACUCUACACACAAGAUGCUUUCAACUUGACUACAUUCAACACAAAAGAAGACGUCAUCAGCGCUAUAGGGAGGAUCAACCAUGUAGAAGGCGGUCAAACUAAGACCGAUAUGGGUAUCAAUUACAUGCGUGAGGUCCAGUUGAAUGCUGCAGUGGUCAGACCAGGGGUCACCAGGAUAGGCCUGGUCAUUACUGACGGAGAUUCUUUU